GUCGAUUGAUUUUCCAUCAAAUUUCUCCAUCUUCUACACCGAUGUCGUUUCUUCUUCUCCACCAAAUAAAUUGAGUAAUAGAUGGGGUUCCCCUUGUGGAUGUUGUGCAUGCCUCUGCGAUCCCCUGGUCCUCCUCUCGCCUAUGUGUCUCAGUUUUGGCCAAGGUGCCUCCGGCGUCGCUGGGAAGGUUGGUUCCAGCCAGUUUCACUAGAAUUGGACCGACAGUUGAUGUCCGGGGCUGGCUUCAUUUCCGGUUUGGAAAGAUGUUGUGGUGGCGACCCGGGCUCAGCCAUAUGGACUGGACGCGACUGCUGUCCAUCCCGACUGUGCGCCAUCCUCGGCCAGAGUACAGCUCCUCCCGCUGGUGCGACCCCGGCUGAUUCAGCCAUGAGAAGUUCUUCCCUUUUUUGUUGCUGGUGGAUUUGCUGCCAAUGACUACAUCAACGCCAUUUGUUAGCUUUAAGGUAACCUAAAACUCAGUUAGUAUGUUGGCGAACACCCGUUUGAGGCUACAGGUCAGCGUGAGAUUAUGUAAUUCAGCCUAUCUGAAUUCUAUUACAGUAUAAGUUGUUAGUUAUUAUUACGCGUAGAUGCCACUUAACUUAAACUGGAAGAAGAUGAUGUAUAAUCCAACUGAUCGGAAGGAUGAUCUGAUUGCACAUCAGAUCACCCACUGAAUUUGUGUUGUCGAAUUGCAGUUCUGUCAUCUACGCAACCGUAACAGGCGGUCAAGCCAGCCCCGUCUCUUCAGUUACUGGUGAUAAGCAACCCCGUUCCCAUCUCUUAAUUAUUCCACGCGUGUCAUUUCACUUCAAUUCUUCAUCUCCUCAUCUUCAAUCUUCUCUUCUUCAUCUCCUAAUUCAUAAACAUUUCAAGCUCCAUCUCACUCGGAUCAUGCAUUCCUAGAAAAUCAAUCUGAUUUUUCUCUUAUUUCCUCACAUGAUUUCCUUAUUGGUGGCUCUGCAGGUACAAUUGAUCUUAUUGUUCGUAGCCAUUGAAGUUGGACGCCACUUAGCUGGGACCAAUAAUUAUGAUUCAUCCAUCUUUUGGUUUAUUAGUUCUCUACAUUUUUUAAGCCAGGGAAUCUUUUCAGAGGAAUCCAAUACUGCAUGGAAAAUCAGAUGUUGCAAUAUUCAAUGCAGAUUCAGCGGCAAAUUCAU
rnacentral:lncRNA from 1 species